GUCUAUGGUCAUACCACCCUGAAUGUGCCAGAUUUCAUCUGAUCUUGGAAGCUAAGAGGGUCGGGCCUGGUUAGCACUCAGAUGGAAGAAAAUUUUGUUUUUUAAUAACUAUGGAUC
rnacentral:rRNA from 1 species